rnacentral:rRNA from 1 species
UACGAAGGGAGCUAGCGUUGUUCGGAAUUACUGGGCGUAAAGGGCGCGUAGGCGGCCGGAUAAGUCAGAUGUGAAAGCCCCGGGCUUAACCUGGGAAUUGCAUUUGAUACUGUCCGGCUAGAGAUCGAGAGAGGAAAGUGGAAUUACGAGUGUAGAAGUGAAAUUCGUAGAUAUUCGUAGGAACACCUGUGGCGAAGGCGACUUUCUGGCUCGAUACUGACGCUAAAGCGCGAAAGCGUGGGGAGCAAAC